rnacentral:misc_RNA from 1 species
AUCGUCGGCAGCGUCAGAUGUGUAUAAGAGACAGGUGAAUCAUCGAAUCUUUGAACGCAUAUGGCACCUGCCAGCCCUGCUGGAAGGUAUGCCUGUUUGAGAAUCAUAUUCAUUCUUUGAUCCCAUUCACACUCGUGAUUGUGAUCGACCUGGGCCUUCACCACUGAUUGCCUCGAAUUGCUCGCGAUCGUCGUGUCAUGUCUCACUCGACAUUAUUGACGAUCACACAACCACCCCCAAACAUGAUCUCAAAUCAGGCAAGACUACCCGCUGAACUUAAGCAUAUCAAUAAGCGGAGGA